AACGUGACUCGAGCUUAAUGAAUAAUAUACAGGGUGUCCCAGAAAGAAUGGAUAACCCUGAAGCGCCUAAUAGUACGGCUAUCAAGCGCUCUAAUAAAAAUACACAAAACAAAAAAUUCCAAGUGGUGCCAAAAAUAUGAGGUUUUUAAAAAAAAAAUACAUAUUUAUUGACCUUACUCUACUUUCAUGUACACCACGGCCGCAAAUUAAUGAAAUUUGUUGUGUUUUUGGUGUUAUCUUUUUCCUCAUAGACUAUACUAUUAGAAAUGCAGUAAAGAGUAUGAGUAUCUAUUGUACUUUUUCGGAAAAAAAAAUA